rnacentral:rRNA from 1 species
AGCGAACGCUGGCGGCAGGCCUAACACAUGCAAGUCGAACGGAUCCUUCGGGAUUAGUGGCGGACGGGUGAGUAACACGUGGGAACGUGCCCUUUGGUUCGGAACAACUCAGGGAAACUUGAGCUCAUACCGGAUGUGCCCUUCGGGGGAAAGAUUUAUCGCCAUUGGAGCGGCCCGCGUCUGAUUAGCUAGUUGGUGAGGUAACGGCCCACCAAGGCGACGAUCAGUAGCUGGUCUGAGAGGAUGAUCAGCCACACUGGGACUGAGACACGGCCCAGACUCCUACGGGAGGCAGCAGUGGGGAAUCUUGCGCAAUGGGCGAAAGCCUGACGCAGCCAUGCCGCGUGAAUGAUGAAGGUCUUAGGAUUGUAAAAUUCUUUCAGCGGGGACGAUAAUGACGGUACCCGCAGAAGAAGCUCCGGCUAACUUCGUG